rnacentral:lncRNA from 1 species
AUGAAGAAGAAUAAGAAGGAGGGAAAAGAGAAAAGACUAAGAAGAGCCAUGCCCAGACCUGAUAAAAAGAUUAUGGAGCACCAUUCAGAGAUCCUGGACUCGAAAAUUGAUUCAGUCACUGGAUGGAACUUUGGGCCAUGAAUUGAGUGCCUGCCAU